CAUAGGCGAUUUCUCUCGAGCCCUUUCGUCCCUAAUCUAAGUGUAAGUCAAUUUUUACUAGUUUUCUUCAAUCUUUAUCAUCUUCUAACAUGAUUUCAUCCUUAAACCAAAGCUUUCAUGGUUAAAAAUGGGGGAUUUGGGGUAGAACCUAGGUUUUCAUAAAAUUGGGGAUUUGGACCUCGAUUUGUGGUCUGAUUUCAAAACAAAUUGCAUAUAUGAACUCGUGGGGGAAUGGGUAACCCGGUUUUGGUUUGAACCUAGAGUUUUGACCAAGUGGGCCUUAAUCAUAUUAAUAUCAUAUUCUUAUGUGUCAUCC
rnacentral:lncRNA from 1 species